UCUCGCGCUAUUGGUACAACUGGGUCUACUUCGUGAUCUCCCAUGUUUGGUUCGAAUUGUUCAGUUGUUUGUUGUUGUUAGUUUUUCCAGUUGGCCCAAUUCAAGGCCUUGAAAACUUUCUCGGGAUCUGAUAAUGCUUCAAAUACUUCACCAGUUCUCGAUGAGUUUCUAGGCAUGCACCUGUACAACCGAGUCAACAAACGUUAAAAUUUCAAUGUAUAGAUUGGGUGUAAAGAAAACUGACUACACUAAGAAUUUUUGUAUUUCGUUCAAUUGUAAUUGAUAACAAAGUUAAUUACCUGGCAACGACGCCAAAAUUUGAUCACGCCCAACUAUGCCUAUUAAAAAGGACACGCGGGCGUCGCAAAUAUAAUCUGAGUAUUUGGCCCAGAGUCGAACCCACAAGGAAUUAACUUAUCAAUUACUCUUAUUAGACUUACUAAAUUAUACGGAGUCAACUUCCCAAACGUUGUAAAUAACAAUUGAGGGUAUUUCCACUAACUACGAAUGGAUGUAAAUAAGCAACUGAAAACUAAUUAUGAUUAAGUUGUAAACAAUUAAGAGAAUAUUCUAAGGUUAUGAUUUCCCCUAUUGAUGGAAUCCCUUCCGGUUAUGUUUCAUAUAGAUUCACCCAAUCAUCUCUAUCAGUCAUGAGCACUCCUAUUACCGUAAAUCUCUCCUGAAUAAUCACGAUAAUUUACUAGACGUGCUCUCCCGAGAUAUGCUAGCUGGCUUUGUUUAUUACAGCUCACUUUAGAUUACACCCAAGGCUUCGUUAUCCCUAAUCCGCCUUUAAACCCGCAGUUAUUGAUCCCUCAUAUACUUUGGGAGUGGUGUUGUUCAACAAUUACCUAAAUAUGCACUCUCUCUCGAGUUAUGCACACUAAAUAGGCACAGCUAAUUGAGGAUACUAUGAAUUAACUACAACAAGAAUGUAGUUGAACAAAUAGAGAUUAAACCAGGCAAACUAUAUUAACAUCACAAGAAGUUCAUCCUUCAAUAGGUUCCAUCAACACCCUAAACUAAGGAAUUAGCUACUCAUGACAAAACAAGAUAAAACUACUAAAUGAUUCAUAAUUGGUAAUUGCAAGAAAAUAAAAGAGAUAGAAAAACUCUAAUGUUUGGUUGAUCUUCUCAAACUUGUUCUUGCCUCCAAAGUGGUCUAAUAACAAGCCCCCUCAUCUUGGGCGAGUUUCUAUAGCUUAUAAGGGUUUGGAACAAGUUUUCCCGAAUUUACACUUUGGUCCCCAAAUUUCUGACGCGUGAACAGUGCACCGCGGUCGCGGCAAGACUGUGGCUCGACUGCGGUGACCACUGAGCAUUCUGCCUUGACGUUUGAUCUGCCGCGGUUCCACCGCGGUCGCGGUGGAAUUUGCUCAGUUCAUUUUCUUGCUUCUUUGUGCUCGGGUACUUCUUGAGUGGGCGUUUUCUUCACAUUAUUUCCUCCAAAACACUCUGUGGUGCUUCCUCACUUAGAAUAUUCCCUGCGAACAAAAGAACACCAUUUAGAGCAUUUUGUUGGCCAUUUGCGUAUAAAACAACAAUAAAGCAUGGUAAUAUUAAGGUAUAAAUAUCAUCCAUAUAGCCUAAUAUCAAUUCAUAUACCUCAAAAUCACUUGAUUUGCGCCUAGAAUCUCCCCUUAUUCUCUUCCUACCAUUAUCGAUAGCUCUUUAUAAUCAAAAUAGCAUCGAUUGAAUAGGUAUUUUGUUACAAUUGAAGAACAAAGUUCAACACAUAACAUAUUCGAGGAAAAAUCAUUGGCGAUAGUUUCGUAUUAUCAAAAAAUCGUCAAUUGCAUCACUCUGGACAACACUGGAAAUGAAAAAACAUUCAGAUUGUUGCCAUAAGUAUUUUCAAUAUCAUUCCAUUAAAAAGUUUUGAAUUCGAUAUUCAGGGUUUACGAUUUUAUAAUUUGUUUGGACUGGAUAUUCUUGCAAAUGAUUGAAAAUGUCCUUUGGAAUUUAUAUCUCAAAUUUGGGGAGAUUAAUUAAGUAUAUAGUUGGUUUUAGGUGAAAUUUCAGAUGGAAACCCCAAGAAGAAGAAGUUGUAGGAAUUGUAUGAUAAUUGUAUCAUAAAUGUAUCGGAAUUGUAUUUGAAUUGUAUCUGAUACAUCCAUGCCUACAACAUAAUCGUUUCAUACUUAUAUCACAAUUAUAUCUAACUUGUAUCUGGUAUUAGUAUAAUUAAUAUACAAUUAUCAUAUAUUUGUGAUACAAUCUGUGAAAUUGGUCAAAAACUCACAACCGCUCGUAAUAAUAUACAAUUAACAUACAUUUGUAAUAAAUUUCUUCAGUAAUUAUGAUACAAAUAUAAUUAUGAUACAAUCGCAAUGCAUUCCUAAAAAAAUAUGAUACAUUAUGAUAUUUAUCUUGUUCAGGUUUCAAUCACAACUCUAAACUUAAAAUCUAAUAUAACAUCGUAUUAUGAUUGUAUUAGUAUUGUAUCAAAUAUUAUUUUAGGUAUUGAUAUAUCAUAUACAAGUCACAUAUAAUUUUGAUACAGUUGUGAUACAAUUCAGAAAGAAAUUUGAUACAGUUACCCAAAUACAAUUAUUUUUUUGGAUAUUAAUGUACCAGAUAUAAGUUAUAUUCAAUCUUGAUACAAGUAUGGUACAAUUAUGAUAUAAUUAUAUUUUAUGCACUGAUGUAUCAGGCAAUGUUUUAAAAGGCGUGGGCGUAAGGUGAGGCAUUUUACAUCUGCCUCAGCUAGGCGUAAGCCCCGAGGCACGAGGCGUAAGCCCCAUGAGUCUUUAAUUUUUAAUACAUUAUAAAAUAAUAUAAUUAAAGUAAAUAUUUAUAAACAUGUAAAAAUUGACAUAAAAAUUGAAGAAAACUAACAUACAUAUAUAUAUAUAUAUACAUAUAUAUAUGUAUGUAUGUAUAUAUGUUUGUGUGUUUCAUCCCCAUAAAAAAUUAGUCAAAAUAAUAUGUUAUACACUACUUACAAGCACAAGCAAUUUGAGUCGAAAAGAAUAAAGUUUUCUACAUAGAACAACAAAAGGAUGACUAACCUGCAAUUUGAACUUUGAACUUAUUGCUAUGAAGGAGAAUUGAGUUCUCUUUAUAUUUGUAAAAAAAAUAAUUGAAUAUUCGUUGCUUUUGGGAGAUAUCAGUAGACUAGCAGAUAAGAUAAAGAAUUGGGAAAGACCAUAAAUUAGGGCUUCAUCAAUACAAGCGGUCUUGACUUUUAAAUUUAAUACAUUUUAGUUACUUUUUAAAACUUUUGAGUAAUUACAAGUGACUUUUGAGAAUUUGGGUGUUAUAUGAAGGAAUUAUUUAAUAAAUUUUAUUUUAAUUUGAAAAAGUCUUUGGAGCUUACGCCUCACUACAAAAAUGCGUCUCAAAUGCCCGGGCAUACGCCCCAAAUUGUUGGGCGUACGCCUCUUGAGACUUUCGCCCUACACCAUCGCCUCAGAGCAUUUUUGGUGCGCCUCACUCCAGGGCUCACCCCAAAAAUGCCUUUUAAAAUACUGGAAUCAGAUAUGAUUACGAUACAAUUAUUAUACAAUUCCUGCAACUUCUUUUUUUUUUUGAAUUUUAAUUCGAAAUUUCACCUAAAAUCAACUCUAAUCUAAACCAAUCUUCCUCAAAAUUGAGAUAUAAAGUCCAAAGAAUAUUCUUAAUCGUCUGCAAAAACACUUAAUCCAAACAAAAUCACAAAUUUGCAAAACCCGAAUAUCAAAUUCAAAGUUUCAAAGUUUUUUUAAUAGCUACUAAUGAUGAACCCUUUACUUCUAUAAUUUUAAAAAUAAUAUCGAUGAAUUUAUCAGUAGUUGAAGAUAUUUAAUGGUUGUUGGUGGAAUUGAUUCAAAGAAACAUAUGAUUCUAUAAUAUUAGAGAGAUAGUCGCUUGAUUUGUGUGAAAGAAAUAGAUUUUUUGGUUGAUUUUAUGAAAGAGAUCGAAUGAUAUUGAAAUUGGGAAAAAAUCGUAAUUGUAGGGGGCAAUUAAGCUAAUAGACAUGGGAAAUUGUGUGUGUGUGGGUGGGGGGGGGGGGGUUACGAUUUAAUCCCUAAAUUUAAGAGAUCCUUCUUUUUACCAUGAUUUUGUAUAUAAAUAAUAAAUGUAGAUACACAAUGUAAUUUUUAAAGAUUCUAAAGAACAAUGAUAAAUAAGUUUCUAAAAUAGUAUAGCUAGGUAAAAAUCUCAAAAAUAAAUUGGCUUGAGAAGUGAACAUGGACUUCAGAGCUGUCGUUGUGUUGAUUGUGCUAUGCCUUAUCUUCCUCAACACUCACCCCAACUUGGAGAGUGAAUGAACCCCUUAGCUGAUUGGAAAAUUCUUAGCAACUCAGUCGGUUGGUGUGUGGGUCAAAAUCUGACCAAAGAUAUUCGACACGAAGUGAUAAAUAGAAAGUAAUAUGUCUGAGGUCGAGAUUCAAAUAGUGGAGCCCAUAGCCGACCAGCCGGUAGCGGCCGAGGUCAAGCAUCAAGAAUAAUAGCAACGACUAGUUUUGUAAUAAGAUCUUUAGAAAAAUAUUCCAUUGAAUAUUCUUUAUAUUUGUACUUUUAGGGUUGAUUGAGGGUAUGUCCCAUAUAAAUAAAAAGAGAGAUAAGGUGAAAUAGGGGUAAAAUUCUCCAAUAAGAACAUUCUAUGAAAAGCAGACUUUCUCAAGAGAAAAUACAAACAUUACCUUUCUAAAAGAGAUUUGGUUGGCUAUUAUUGAACACCUUUUCAAUAAGAUCCAAUAUUUUAGUAUUUGGCUCAUAUCCAUCAUUGUCAAGAGGAGUAAUCAUCCACCUCAUUCAAUGUUGGGUUAACUAUUCUUCUUAUUUAUUUUGAUGUCAUUUAUUGCUAUUUAUCUUUUGACAUUCUCUCUUCAUUGAUGAUCUUGAAACAUUAAAUACAAGUUGCGUUUAAUCUGCUUUCAACACUAAGCUAUGUCACUCGUAUUAACCAUUCAUAGAUCUGAAGUUAUUAUCAUUAACUAGGUUUAACCCUUCAUUAUAUAAAUUUAAUUGUUAAUCAAAGAUCUACACUUUUUGGCCAAACAAUUUGGCGUCAUCUGUGGGAAUUUUUUAGGUAAAAUUUUAGUUUCUUCUAGAUCCAUAACUAUCAAAAAAAUAAAAAAAAAUCAAAACCCCUAUCCUCUUGUACACACAAACCUAAUAUGGUAGGUAACUGAGAAGAAAGGAUGAAAGAAGUGGCCGAUCUCACCACCAACCUCUUGAACACCAUCAACGAGGUUUCAAAAAUGGAGGGUGAAGAUGUAAUACCAGAUGCCUCUCCCAGGCUAAGUGACUCGCCCCUCCCUCAUGAUAGUAUCACGAUGUCCCCCGGUAAAAGGACUUCCAUGUCCACAAUAGAAGAAACGCCACCAGCAGUGAAGAAACUACUUGAAGCUUGGCUGACGGACACGCUGACCAGCAUCCUCGACACACCCACCCAAAAAUCUACAAGAGAAAAUGUAAGGACUCGCAUUGUACCAAUAAUGGUCGAGCAACACGCCCCUCCCCCUCCAACAAUAGGUAUCACUCACAAUGUUAGUAAUGCAGGUGACGACACCCUAACAGUCAUUCUGAGGAAGAUGAAAGAAAUGGAAAAGGAGAACAAAAUGUUGCGAGACCAAAUGAAGGAGCAUCAAGAAAGAGUAGACAAAAUAUCGGGUGCCCCAAAAUGCUUACCAAAAAGGGAUGUGGGUCGGUUCGUGGAACAACCUUACACUGAUGAAGCUUGUUGAUACCCAAUUUUGCCCUCAUAUUUUCCAAAUAGUAUAUAUAUUUUCAAUAUAUCAUUUUGCAUCAUUAUUUAGUUUAUAGGAGUUAUACAUGUGUUUUUCAUAUUUUUUAACAAUGUUUAGAGCUUUAAAGCUAUUUUUCUUGCAUUUAAAUUACUUGAAUAUUUACUAAUUAUUCUUUUAAAUUAUUUUGUAAUGACUAAAUAUCUAAAAUUAUAAUUUCCAUUCAUAAUAUAUGUUUCAAUUAUUUUUCACUUCAUUUUAUAUAAUUACAUUAGUAUUUUAGGCUAUUUACACAAUCUUGCAAUAAUAGCCUAUAUUUUACAACUUUAUUACAUUUGUCAUUUUAUUCAAGGUCAAAAUAAUAUUUUACAUUUUUAUAAUUUUCUACUAUUGUUUUAAGGUAUUAAUUUGCAUAAAUAGCAUUUUUAUAUUUUAUUUAAUUGUUUUUAUUAAAUUAUUUUUCCCUUAAUCUCCUAUUUUAAAAUCUGGCCAAAAUUAGGUUAAUUUCGGACCAAUUAAAGUCCAAAUGAACCAUCCCACUUUGAUUAACCCCCAGAAGCCCAAUCCAAGUGGCGCUGUGCAGUCCAAACCUGACCCAACUCCCCUUGAAUCUCAGCCGUUGAUCAAAAGCGAUCAACGACUCACAUCACUCCACUCUCUUUCCUUAUAUCCUUAUCCUGAAACCCUAGAGACCAUUCCCUUUCCUCAGUCGCCCUCAUACACUCUCAUCUCUCAAACCUAAACCCUAGCCGCCUCACUCAAAUCUCAGCCUCAAUCCAAUAUUACAUGAAAAUCAUCCAUGAUUCCUUUCCUUUCUUUCACACACAGAGAUACUUACCAUCUUUUGAAAGUUACAAGUACUGGGUACUUGAUUAUUUAUGAAAGCUGAGUCAUUGGUGUUCUUUUGACUCUGAUUUUGUAUUAUUUUCAUAUUUUUGACCUAAUACACUAACUAUCAGAUCCCAUGGCUUCGAUGCAGUGAGAUUUUUGCUAUUUUUGUUCCUCGUCUAAAUUAGGCUUUAUGGAUUUACCCUAAAACUGAUUCUAAUUGAUUUUUACAUGCCAUAUUUUCCUUAUUUAAUAUAAUAUAUUUCCUUAUUUUAUGUGUUUAUCUUUACAACUAUAUAAAUCUUUCCCCAUUCCCCUUUGAAACAAACUUUUAAUUACCAGAUUCACUAAAAAUCGAAGCUAUUGUUAUAUUAUUCUCUUGUUCUAUACUUUGGUUCUUGGCCCCACGGCCAUGGAAAUUCAAUUUUUCAACUUUUCUCGGUGCGAGCACUACCCGAGGUUUAUUUGAAGCCUUUGGGAACUCUAACGCACUAAAAUUCUGGGUUCUAUUGCUCUUUGUUGACAUUCAGAGUAUUGUGGAGUUUGUUCUUUCUUGAUGUCUGUUUAUUCAACUGAUAACUGGUAAGUCUCUUGGCUUUUACAAUUUCGUUCUUCUGUGUUCAUGUCUUGCAUAUUCACACCUCUGAAAUUUCAUGACCUAAUGUGUUUCUAGACUAUUUUUGUGUGCAACUUGUUGGCAUUGAACUUGUUUCAUGAUCUGAACUUCUCAAGCAUUUGAAUUUCCCUAAGAUUUCCAGUUUUGCGACAUUGUUUAUGAUACAUGCUUAACUUGAAUAAUUCGGACUCCCUUAAGUUCAUUUAGCCUGGUAUGUUGGUCCCUGAAUGUGCAUGUUUGCUGCUUGGCAUAAGUUUUCUUCUGUACUUUGUUCUGAAUUCCUGUAAUGACUUACUCGCAUCUAUAAUGUAUUCUAAUCUAUGUUAAGACCUUCACUCUAUCUAUGACCUGCUCCCAUGCUAUUUUUUCACUUAUUAUGUCUUUGGUUUGCUUAAUCCUAUAUCCCCUAGUGAUUAGUUGGGACCCUUAGAGUAGCUAUCUUAACUUGUGUUUCCUUAUAAUGUCUGAUACUGGGUAUGUUUGGUAUAACGAAAAAUAUUUUCCAAGAAAAUAUUUUUUUGAAAAACAAGUAGUAAUCUUAUUCAUUUUUCGGUGUUUGGUACGCAAAUUAAGGAAAUUCACUUCUCAAGAGUAUUCAUAAAUAAUUUAUAUACAAUAAACAUGAAGCCAUAAACUUUCAAACCAAUAACCUUCUGAACCCACAAAUUUCAUAAACUUCCAAACAGCUAAACUUUUGAAACUGCAAACUUCCGAACCCGUAAAUUUUUAAACACAUAAACUUCCGAACUCAUAACUUUGGAACUUGUAAAAUUUUGAACCUGUAAACCGAAAGAUGAAAAAAACUAAAACAAAAAUAUAAAAAAAAAAAAUUUCCUGGAGAGGGGGCAGGGGUGUGCAGAAAAACAAAAAGACAAAAAUUUCAAAUUACAAAAAAAAAGAAAAUAAAACUUUUUUUUGCAGGGGGGGGGGGGGGUAGUGUGGGGUGGUGCAGAAAAAAAAUAGAAAAAAAAAACAUUUUUCAAAGAGGGGGUGGGGUGGGGUGGGGUUAGGUGGGUGAGGGUGGGGAAGGUUGAGAAUGAGUUUUGAAAAAUAUUUUCCCUUCUCUUGAUAAGGAAAUAUGUUUUAAUAAGGAAAAUGUUUUCCAAAACAUUUCAACCAAACAUGGGAAAAUUGGAAAAUAUUUUUCGAAAAAAUGUUUUCCUUCAUACCAAACACACCCACUGUUUUGUCUUAUUGAUAUAAGUUGGCAUGUCUACUUUCUAGUGUUGUGUUGGAUAUUCAUCAUAAUUUGGACCCUUAGGCUUUAAAUCCUUUAAAUUAGUGCUCUACUUUAGACUUUUUUGGCAUUGUGCACCUUUGUAUGAUAAUCUGGUAAUCUCAGAAAACCUGAUUCCCCUGCUUCUUACAAAAUGUUCUCUACCUAAUAUGCAAGUGUUUGAACUUAUGAUACCAACGUGUACUUUGAGUUUUGUUGAUUCUCUUUGCUUGUAUAUUCUUUGUUUAAUCACCUCUAUUAUGCCUGCUUCUAAAACUAAGUGCACCUUUUCAAAUUCUAUCAUUUGAUCACUGUUCUCUCACUCUCAUUUGUUACCUACACUAUUCUGAAUCUAUCACUCUUGGUCGGCUGAAAGCCAAGGCCACAAAAAACUCUCCCUAUUGACCUCCCUGGUGUGAGUACUGCCCGGGGUCCAUUUGAGACUCCUGUGAACUCUGGCAUACUAGGAUUUGGGGUCUUUUGGUCACUCUCUUUACUACUGGGACUUAAGCUAUCUCUGUCCUCAUUUUGUCUGUUGAAUCUGCCAAACUGGGUUGUUUAAGUGGUUUCUGUGUGGUUUUAUAAUUUGUUUGGGGGUCAUAUGUAACUGUUUGGCCUGACACGAGUUCCUUUUACGACUUUGGGGCUGUGUCGUUGGGUAUAAUCCCUUGUUUGAGAGAUGUUUGGACCGGGGCAUGCUAAUUGUGGAAGUUGAGCUUGUUGAAGGCCCAGACAAUGCUAGUUUAUCUUCAUUUUAGGCCUUGUUCUUGGGCCUUUAGCUUUUUUCACAUGUAAUAUUUAUAUUUAUAUUCUUUGGGCAUGUAAUAAUUUGUAAUAACAAACAAUUUAGGGUGUUAGUGAAAUUGGUGAAAUGGGUAUAUUCUAAUGUUUGGAUGAAAGGGUAGAGAACCUGCCUAUAGGAUUACAUGAUUUAUUACCCAACUUGCCAUAUAUGUUGUUUAGCUUCCAUAUACACUAGUAGAAAUCAUGCCUAUAGGGAAUCACACACUCUCACUCGACUUGUUUACUAUCAAAGCAUGAGCUUAAGUACUUUAUUCCCAUGCCUACUGCUAUGUGUUACUAGACAACAUGCUUGUAAAAAACAAAUGUCAAUAACUGCCCUUCAAUUUACAUAAUUGCAGCAUAUUCAUUAGGUACUAUGCAUAUAAGAUUGUAUUAACUUAUCUUCUCUGGAUCCUUAUCUAGAUAUCAUGUCUAUAAGGCUUUAAUUGACUAAUUAGUCUAUUGUCUUUAUCGCGUUGCUCGCCUAGAAACCAUAGUGUUAUAUUAACUUAUACUCUACUGGUCCUCAUCUAGAUAUCAUGUCCAUAGAUUCUUAAUUGAUUCAUCAGCUACUAUUAUAUCUAUCGCUCGCCUAGAAAACAUGCCUAUAGGGAUAAAGUGCUACAAAAUUAGUUUUUCAACUACCAACUAUUAGAACCUACUAUAAAAUAUUGCUACUCGUUUAGAAAGUAUGCCAAUAGGAUCAAACACGAAUAAUUUUGAACCCUUCCAAUGGUUUUUGCUACCUCUUCGCAUAAACAACUUAGAGAUCAUGUCUAAAGGAUUUACAAUACCUAUAAUCUGCAAAUGUGUUGUUCUAACAUAAUCAGCAUUACAUGUACGUUUGAAAUCAAAUCACAUAGAAACCAUGUCUAUAUGACUUAAUUACCUUAAUUUGCCUCAAUUCUAAAACUAUCUAAUGCCUAAUGUGAGAAUCCACCUCAUUCAAUAUUGGGUUAACUAUUCUUUCUUAUUUACUUUGAUGCCAUUUAUUGCUAUUUAUUUCUUGACAUUCUCUCUUCAUUGAUGAUCAUGAAACAUAACAUACAAGUUGCGUUUAAUUUGCUUUCAACACUAAGCUACGUCACUCGUAUUAACCAUUUAUAGAUCUGAAGUUAUUAUCAUUAACUAGGUCUAAUCCUUUAUUAUAUAAAUUUAAUUGAUUUAAUCAGAGAUCUACACUUUUUUGUCAAACAGUUGGUUACGUGAGUUUUCAUCUUAUUGGCGAGAGUUCUAUUUUCCUACUUGUAACCCCUUCCCCUAUUACCUGAGCUUUCACCUUAUUCGCUCAUAUUAAUGACGAAUUAUUUCAUUACAAAUAUUACUUUUUCUUGUAGUGCUUCUUCUCAUCUCACUUGAAACCUUUCCUACCAUCUUUUCUUUUCCUUCCAUCUUAUUCUCGCGAUAUAGCUAGAUUUCUCGCUAUGUGAGCAAGGAUUGAGAUUUUGAAAGGGUAAGGGUGGUUGAGUUUGGACACUAUAUUUCCCAUUUACAAAUGCUGCAGACACAUUUAUUGUUGAACAGUAGAAGAGAAGCUACAAGCAAGAGUUGAACAACUAUUAAUCUCCUUAGUAAAAUACAGAGUAAAAAAUUGGAAAAGUAAAAGAUAAAAACUGAAAAGAUUUUUAUCAAUCAAAUAAUUCCCAAUUUGUGGUAGCAGGAGGUGGAUCAAAAGUUUCCCACAUGGUGGUGACUAUAACUGGCUUUAUUUUUGCAUUGGCUAUUUUUAGCACAUCAAGGGUUUCCACACAUUUUUGCACUCUUUGUCCCUGCAAGCAUAAGUCAUCAACUAACCAAAAACUCUAUAAACGAAAGCACAAAGAACAUUAUAUUACAGAAUUCAUAGGGGUGAGGAAAAAAUUAAGGUCAUAAGAAAAGUAUGAUAUUCAUUUAUACAAUGGAGAUUAUAGAAUACGCGAACUCUAAACUAACAAAAAAUUUGCUUUUAAUAAUUGGAAAAUAAAAAUACAGUCCUAGUCAUAAUUAUUAGGUUCUUACUUCUUACCAUGAUUGGCCUUUCAUUUUACCUUUGGACUUCUUUUUUUCGUCUAAACCAUCAGGCAUGGGAACCCACUUUUCUGAUUAAUUGAAAUUUCCACUGCGUAAUACUUAUUAAAUGCAAUAUUUCUUAUCAGAAAUUUAUCUAUUCUGAAGACUUGAAUCCGAACUCCAUAAUUUAGUGGGAGAGAAACUUGUACAUACCAUCACAUCUCGUGGUGGCCCUUUGGACUUUACAUUCUCUGAUUACAGGAGCAGAUUUAGGCCAAAAUUAUAGUGCAUGUGAAUUCAUGGUCUUUCGGUCAAAUUAGAUAUUUUAUGUACAUAUUUUUUUAGAAUCAAUCUAAUAUAUUUACUCGCUCCCAUGCUUCAAAAAUAUUGAAUGAUGUACUUGAUUGAAUAUUGAGUUAUUAAGGAUGAGGGAUCAAUUGCCAUUAUAUAUUUUCUUUUUUCUUAUUUCUUUAGUGGUUCUCAUAUUUUAAAAAUCCUAAAUCCGCCUCGUCUGAAUAUGUACAUGGAACAUCUUAUCGUUUGGUUCUUAGAGAACAAAUCAUUUCAUGUUAAAGAAAGUAAGAUACCAUCUCUCGCGGGCUAUAGAAUAAUAUGUUAUGAUAUUAUUACAAAAAAUUGCAUAAACAUGACAUUGUUUGGGCUGGUCUAUUAUUUUGUAUCCUUAUUUCGUUAUGAGUAGAACUUUAAAGUCAAAAGUUAAAAAUAUUAACCAUAGGGCAAACUAUGGGCAAGAUUGGUUCAACUUGACAAAAAUUCAAGACGAUCUACUUAAAGGCUAUUUGUGUACUUCACCAUAUUAUUAGUAUACAAUGAAUUUUAACAAACAACUUAUGAAAGAAGUAAAAUAAGUGGGCGUU
rnacentral:lncRNA from 1 species